GAACGAACGCUGGCGGCGUGCUUAACACAUGCAAGUCGAACGCGAAAGGGACUUCGGUCCUGAGUAAAGGUGGCGCACGGGUGAGUAACGCGUAGAUAACCUGUCUUCAUGUCUGGAAUAAUACGCCGAAAGGGGUACUAAUACCGGAUAUUCUUGCUUUUCAUAAGUUAUGCAAGCAAAGGUGGCCUCUGCAUAUGCUACUGCAUGAAGAGGGGUCUGCGUACCAUUAGCUAGUAGGUGGGGUAAUGGCCUACCUAGGCGACGAUGGUUAGCGGGUCUGAGAGGAUGAUCCGCCACACUGGCACUGGAACACGGGCCAGACUCCUACGGGAGGCAGCAGUGAGGAAUAUUGCGCAAGUGGGGGAAACCCUGACGCAGCGACGCCGCGUGAGUGAGGAAGGCCUUCGGGUCGUAAAGCUCUGUCAAGAGGAAAGAAGUGUACAAUGGCUAAUACCUGUUGUAUUUGACGGUACCUCUAAAGGAAGCACCGGCUAACUCCGUGCCAGCCGCAGC
rnacentral:rRNA from 1 species